rnacentral:lncRNA from 1 species
GUCAGUGGAGUGACUUUGGGCACGAUUGAUAACACUUGUGUCACGUUAAACCUACCGAGCAAUGUAUAGGGAGGAGCACCUCGUUCUAGGAUCCAAUCACCUUUAACUCAGGAAACCUAAAACAUGAAUUUUGAAAACGUGAGUACAAACUCAGUGAGUGAACAUAGGAGGGGAACAAGCAACAUUAAUGAAGGUUUUAGAAAACAUGAUGUACUUGUUUCAAAAAAAAUGCAAUUGAAUUAAUUUCUUACUAAAAACCCCUCACUCAAACCCUUGGUCGGUUAGUCAUUUGAUGACAAAAAACUCAUGAACAACAAAGAAGUUGAGAAGUAUACACUUUAGUAGAAUUCAAGCAAGUCAAGCAUAAUAUAUUGACUCUCACCGCAGCGAAAAGGCAUUCUCGUUGCAAUAAAAUUCUAGCCAGAUAAAAUCCAAGGGGUUUUCAAUGCCACCAGGAAUAUCCACUCAUGCCACAUUGCACAUUAAAUUGAACACAUUGACAAUACUCAAGUUUUCAUUAUUCAUUUCAAUCAUAUAUUAUAAUCAUAAACUUUCUAUCACAUAUACAUAUAGAAACAUAUAUAAACACGUACACCACCCUACUUCAUUCAUCGUCAUGUGCACUACUUACUCGCACAUUUCCAUAUCAUUAUCAUCAUCAUCAUCAUCAUCAUCAUCAUGUGCACUCCCUACUCGCACAUAGCGGGGUCAUCAUCAGCUCAUGUGCACUCCCUACAUCAGCACACAGCUAGAAUUCCCCACCGGUCCUCAACUCAUGUGCAGUCCCUACAUCUGUACAUAGCUAGGUCAUCAUCAGCUCAUGUGCACUCCCUACAUUCGCACAUAGCUGGGUCAUCAUUAGCUCAUCAUUAUUCAUCAAUGCACAACAUAUAUUUAUAUACAUACAUGCCAACAUAAUAUAGGAGCACACGGAUUCAUCCUUUUACACAUUUCACAUUUUCACAACAUCGAGACAUUUUUAUCACGGGCUUGUUACCUGGCACACAUUUUUAAAGAAAGGAUAGAUAAAAUCAUUCAAAUGUUUCACCCAAAUACAUUUACAUUUCCCAAAGCAAAUUUUGAAAUGCAAGUUCACUCAGCUGGCAACAAUGAGAUAUUAAGUCGCUAUUUGUUCGAAGGUGUCUCUAACUAUUUUCACUGGUCGGUCGCUCGUUAUUUACUCCAGCACACCACCACAGUUCUUUAACCUUAUUUUUGCACUCAAUAUAUUUAAUUACAUACAUAUACAGGCAGCACUUCAAUCAAGUAAUCCUUACUCAAAUUUAUAUUUUUCAUCCUAUCAUGAAACCAUAUUCAAUUUACUCACAUCUUAAUACAUUUUUACCAAAAUUACUUAUAUCCAUUGCUUUCGAAAUUCCUUAGAUUAUAUCACCGAUAACUUAUUUAUGAUGUCACGCGCCUACUUCAACCUUUCUAAAUAAUUUUCACCAAAUCAAUCUUAUAUUUCCACACAUAAUCCACAUAUAUGGCAGCAACAAUCAUUCUCACUUUCACUUGAUUAUUUCCUAGUUUACAUGUAUCGUUAUCUAUCUAACUUUCAAUACUUUGUUUCUCAAUCCUCCAUACACAAUAUUCCUUUUUCAUUUCUUUCAAACAACAUGCCAUACAAUCUUAAUAAUUUUCAACUAGCUUAGGCAAAUAAAUCCUUUCAACAACCAUAAUUCCUCACAAUAUUCAACUAACCAUAGGCUUUAAAACAUAGUGUUAAGCUUACCAUUUUCCUUUUCCACUUUGGGUCCUUCAUGUACCCAUGGGUUUAUUGGCUUACAUGUUACCAAAUUUUCUCCAAUCAAGCCAAUCUUUGCUGCCACAAGACAUUUCUCUAAGUCACUAACUCAUUUUCAAGGACUACUCGAGCCAAAAACAAGAAUUCUUACUGUUCCUUGCUUGAAUCACCAAAAUCAAGCUUUUUCUUCUUUUCUCUCUUUUUCUUUCUUAUCCUCCUAGGGUUUAGAUGUGCUGGAAAUUGGGGUUAAAGACUGUAAAUUUAGUGCUUAAGAAGUUUGGAGAAGAAAGGAAAAGAAAACAUGAAAAGGAAAGUGAAGAAAACUUGAUUUCAUGGCGACAAAGAGAAAAUGGCAUGGAAGCUUCAA